rnacentral:lncRNA from 1 species
CCGACAUCGGGGUGUCACUAGUUAUGAGAAUCUACCAAGGUCCGAAUACAACUAGAGUAUAAAAAUAUACUAGAUACAGUAAUGAAAAUGAGAGAAAGGAAAGCAGUGCUGCGAACGUCGUGCAACCACCUUGCUAACUCUGACGACUUCGCCUCUAAGCAAUCAACACCCGCUACCGGGAUCCGAAAUACCUAAAUGUGCAUACGAGGUACAGGGAGUAAUGUGAGUACUCCAACCUAAUAAGUAAUAAGAGUAAAUAAGGACUGAGCAGUAAGAAAACACGUCAAUCAUGUCAUAGCACCAUAGUGAAUACAACAUGUUCCCAAAUCAGGAUACCAUUCAAAUCAUUUCGUUAAACUCCCAACUUCAGUAAAAUCCUUUAAAAUUUAUAUUUCUAACCUUUUCAAUAUAGGUUUACUGAAAUAGAUAUAUUUUUAAUGGAAGUGAUGAAAAUCAUAAUCGGCCCCUCGGGCAAAACAUAGUUCGUAUACAGCCCCUUGGCAAAACAGAAAUUUAUACCCAUUUCAUAACUCAAAAACUUCAGUUUGAAUGAAAGUUGUUUAAAGCGUUUGCUCAACAUUUUCAAUAGAGGCUCGGUCUAAAGAUGAGUGAAACCAGUAAUUAAAUCAACAUAUUCAAUAAAAACUCACUUUAAGGAUGAGUGAAAAAUAGUAAGUUCAUAAACAUGCCCCUCAGGCAAAGCAUCACUCAUGUAUAUGUAUAUUUAUAGCCCCUCGGGCAAGCCUCUCAGUCACUUAUGACUCACUCUUACCGAUCAUCGCUCACACUCAACACUCACACUCAAUAGGUACCAUAUAGUAAUCGUUGCAGCGUGCAGCCCGGUCCAUAUAUCGUUGCAGCGUGCAUCCCGAUCCAUAUAUCUCGUCGACGGCGCUUACUGGGGGUGUGCAGACUCUGGAAGGGCUCCUACGGCCCAAGCGCUAUAUCGCUGCGGCGUGCAGCUCGAUCCAUAUAUGUAUAUAUGUAUAUAUUGCUGCGGUAUGCAGCCCGAUCCAUAAAUAUAUAAUCCUCACAACCAGGCCAUCGACCUCUCUCAGUCAUUAACCUCACAAUCAGACUCUUGUUCUAUCUCAGUCAUCAACCUCACAAUUAGACCAUCGGUCAAUGUAAGUCAUCAACCUCACAAUCGCUCGGGCCAUCAGUAAAUUAGGGAACUUAGCCCAAACAAUUUUCACAUUUUAAGAAGUAAAGUGAUAAAACCGGAUUUAAACAAUAACAGGUAAAACAUGACUGAGGAUAUGCUUUCAAAACAAAUAGAGUGAGGAAAAGUAGUGAAAAUGCCCCUAUGGGUCUCAACAGGUCGGCACAAGGCCCCAAAGAUGGCAUACAACCCAAAAUAUAAUAUCAAUCUCUAAAAUAUAGAAUAUCAUAAUAUUUCAAAUCAAAUACGCGACUUGACAGUCGUACGGGAUGGACAAAGUCACAAUCCCCAAUAGUGCACGACUCCACGCUCUUCAUCUAGCGUGUGUGUCACCUCAAAAUAGCACAACACUGUGAAAUCGUUUCAACCCCUCAGGACAGUAUUUACAAUCAUUACUUACCUCGAUCCGGUCCAAACUCUAGCCUGCGAUGCAUUUGCCCUCACGAAUCGACCUCCGGAUGCUCCGAAUCUAGUCAUAAUCAGUAUAUAACCAUUAAAAUAUGUUAAGGGAACAAUGCCCACUCGAAAAUAUCCAAUUUACAUCAAAAAUCCUGAAAUUGCUCAAACCCGGCCCCCUGGACCACACCUCAUAUUCUGAUAAAUUUUAUAUCUAUAGGUUCCUUAUCCUCUCACGAGUCUAUACAUACCAAAAACCUCAAAAUCGGACUUCAAUUGCCCCUUCAAAUUCCCAAUUUACACUCUCCAAAUUCAAGCCCUAAUUCCUCAAUUUUAGGCUUAAUUUCCAUGAUUAAUUAGGUAGAAUUUACACAAGAAUCGAGUAUUGAGUUCAAAAAUCUUACCUCCAUGUGUUAUCUCUUGAAUCCCUCAUCAAAUACUCUCAAAAAGUUCCAAAAUCGCCCAAAAAUGGUGAAAGUUAGCCCCAAAAUCGCGGACAAUGACUAUUUAAAUAUUAUGCCCUGGCAUCAAAAACUUUCUUCGCGAACGCGGUCAAAGCCUCGCAUUAGCGAAGCACAAUCCAGCUUUGACCAAAAAUCCUUCUUAGCGAUCACGUCUUGCCACUCGCGAACGCGAUGCUUCCUCAGACUAACCCUUCGUGAUCGCGUAACCUCUCUCGCGAACGUGAUGAAUAAACACCCUGAAGCUCAGCUGCCCAAUUCCUCUUACGCGAAUGCGGUCCACUUCACGCCAAUGCGAUGACCAAUCACACAACCCUUCACGAACACGGAGCCUGCCUCGCGAACACGAAGAAUAAAAUUCCAGCCUUCACCAGCUAACCCUUCGUGAACGUGACGGCCUACCCAUGAACGCGAAGGCCAUUUCUCUGCAACACAGAUCAACAAUUUUCUCCAAUCCCAAACAAUGAAAUGGUCUGAUUGACCAUCCGAUACUCACCCGAGGUCACGGGACGUCAACCAAACAUGAUAACAUAUAACAUAACCUCAUUUAAACUUAUUCCAACCUUUGAAACGCUCAAAACAACAUCAAAACACCAAAAUCACAUUGGAUUCAAACCUAAGAAUCUCAAGAACUUCCAAAUUACUCUUUUGGUAAAAAACCCAACCAAACCACGUCCGAAUGACCUGAACUUUUGCACACACGUCACAAAUGAUAUAGCAGAGCUACUACAACUUUCGGAAUUCCCUUCCGACCCCUAUCAAAAUCUCACCUAUCAACCGGAAAAUGCAAAAAUCUCAAUUUCGCCAAUUCAAGCCUAAACCAUCCACGGACUUCCAAAAUGCAUUCUGAUCACGCUCCUAAGUCCUAAAUCACCUAAUGGAGCUAAUCAAAUCAUAAAAAUUCCGAUCCAAGAUCGUGUACAGAUAAGUCAAAUCUUGGUCAAACCUUUCAAAUUUCAAGCUUCAAACUGAGAAUUGUUCUUCCAAAUUCAUUUUGAUUACCCUGAAAAUCAAAACCAAUGAUUUACAUAAGUCAUAAUACAUCACACGGGGAAAGUCAUGCCCGGAAACUGGCAAGCAAAGUGCAAAAGCUCAAAACGACCGGUCGGGUCGUUACAAUGAUAAUUAUAUAAAUUCAUAUUUUUCGAACUUUUUUUUCUACAAUAAAUAUUCCACUCAAAAGAAAUGCCAUAUCAAAAUGUAUAUAUAACGGUAUCAAGGUUGUUAAACGUAUGGGAUGUAAUAUCCUUCCCCCCUUAAGAACAUUCAAAUUUACAAAAUUUUCGCUAGGGUCUCAUCUGUAAACUGAAGUAAAACCCAACCUUUGUCCGAAAUUUAAACUAUUCACAACCUUUUGUACAUGAGUAUCUCGUAUCUUUUUCACCAUUACUUUACUUGCUUUUCAAUCCGGCAUCAUAUAUAUGAGUUUACAGGUUGGUGCCUCAAAUUCAUGCGGACAUUAUCCUCCUAACCAUACAGAAGUCAUACUGACAAUUUGAAAAGAUAUACGAAAUUGCUAAUUAGUAGCACAUUAAUCAUCUAGUAAAUGAUUCCACACUAUGCUUUUGUUUCCUCGUUUAAUCAUAUUAUAUUACCUAGGUACUAGUAUUUAUUUAAACACGCCAAAAAAGCAUCUGUAGGGCCCCCUUCAAUUAUAAACUUCCAUGUUCUGAAAAUUAUUCUUAUUCGUUACUCCCUCCCACAUUACGCUUUAAAGCUCUACUGUGAUACCUGCACCUCUGAUGCAUAUUAAAUCUGACGAAAGUUUCAUACUGAUUUCUUACGACUCAUCUUCAUGGCACGAUCUGAAAACAAAAGAAGGGUAUCAUUUCCUAAAUGCCCUAUAGUCUCUCAAUUAUAAAUGUGGCGCGCAAAACACUCAUAAGUGAGACUCUACUAGGCAUGACUUUAUAUACUCCCUAGGACACGACCCGCUUUGAUACCACUUUGUCAAGCUCCAAACCUAGGGAGGUGUGGCUGGCACCCGGUGCCGCAUUGGCCCCAGCGAACCACUCUAUAACUCAUGAUCAUUCGACCAAAACUAGAACGUACAUAGGUCGAGAUAGCUGAACUCAUUCUUUUCGUAACUAUCAUGGGCCCACACGGCCACAACUCAUAAUGUACAACUGUAAAUGGAAAAUACUGUAUCACUGAACCAUUUUUCUUAAAAUAUGAAUAAAUAUGGGCCAUCAAGGCCUCUACCAUACUGUACAAACUAAACCUUUUUCUACAAAGCCUCUAAGAUAAUUCGACAUCAAAUGGGAUAGGGUACCGACCUAUCUAUAAGUCUGUAGAAAAACUCUGACACGAUGACUCAUAGACUCGGCUGUACUCCGAAUGAAGUGGAGUCUUAGCGAUCCUUCGCUGAAUGCAAACCUCGUCUACUGUGAGGGCUCGUCAAAUUGUUUAUCUAUACCUGCAGGCAUGAAUGCAGUGUCUCCAACAAAAGGACAUCAGUACGAAUAAGGUACUGAGUAUGUAAAGCAGAACUAAAACAUAAUAAUAAGUCAACAUUAAUUUAAGACAUUGAAGAAACAUGGAGUAAAGGACAAGUCUGAAUAACUCUGUAAAUCAUGUAAUACUUAUAGUGUCAUGCGUAUGCGUAUGAAUGUCAUGUCGUGUAUAGGUACAUGUGUUCAUAACAUCAUCAAGCCUCUGAGGGCAUCUCAUCAUAUCAUCUUGGCCACUAUGGGCAAAAUCAUCAACCCAUACCAUUCCCAUAUCCCAU